UACGGGGGGGGCAAGCGUUGUUCGGAAUUACUGGGCGUAAAGGGCUCGUAGGUGGCCAACUAAGUCGGACGUGAAAUCCCUCGGCUUAACCGGGGAACUGCGUCCGAUACUGGUUGGCUUGAGUUUGGGAGAGGGAUGCGGAAUUCCAGGUGUAGCGGUGAAAUGCGCAGAUAUCAGGAGGAACACCGAUGGCGAAGGCAGGUCUCUGGGCAUUAACUGACGCUGAGGAGCGAAAGCAUGGGGAGCGAACAGG
rnacentral:rRNA from 1 species